CCUAGUGGUGACAUCAUUGAGGAGUAUUGGUCCCUGGACGAGAGUCUGAACCCUCCCCUCCUCUUUCCCUCUUCCUUCCCUCUUUUUUUUCCCCUUCUUUUCUCCCGUAAUAAAACGAGGUACGUGUGCCUUUUUGCAUGUACUUUAUGAAUAAGGAUCGGCUAACUCCGUGCCAGCAGCCGCGGUAAUACGGAGGAUCCGAGCGUUAUCCGGAUUUAUUGGGUUUAAAGGGAGCGUAGAUGGGUUGUUAAGUCAGUUGUGAAAGUUUGCGGCUCAACCGUAAAAUUGCAAUUGAUACUGGCAGUCUUGAGUACAGUUGAGGUAGGCGGAAUUCGUGGUGUAGCGGUGAAAUGCUUAGAUAUCACGAAGAACCCCGAUUGCGAAGGCAGCUUACUAAACUGUGACUGACAUUGAUGCUCGAAAGUGUGGGUAGCAAACAGGAUUAGAUACCCUAGUAGUC
rnacentral:rRNA from 1 species